AGCGGCGGACGGGUGAGUAACGCGUGGGUAACCUGCCUCAUACAGGGGGAUAACAGUUGGAAACGGCUGCUAAUACCGCAUAAGCGCACAGUACCGCAUGGUACCGUGUGAAAAACUCCGGUGGUAUGAGAUGGACCCGCGUCUGAUUAGCUAGUUGGUGGGGUAACGACCUACCAAGGCGACGAUCAGUAGCCGACCUGAGAGGGUGACCGGCCACAUUGGGACUGAGACACGGCCCAA
rnacentral:rRNA from 1 species